rnacentral:rRNA from 1 species
AUCAUUAGUUUUUUAAUUGGAAGCUAGAAUGAAUGGUUGGACGAGAUAAAAUCUGUCUCUAUUUAAAUUAUUUUAGAAUUUAAUUUUUAAGUUAAAAAGCUUAAAUAUUUAUAAAAGACGAGAAGACCCUAUAGAUCUUUAUAUUUUUUUAUAUAAUUUUAUUAAAGAAUAUUUUAUUUUUUAUUUAAUUAAAUAUUUUAUUGGGGUAAUAAAAAGACUUAUUAAAUUCUUUUUUUUAUUUAAUAUUGAUUAGUAAUUAUUUGAUCCAAAUUUUUUGAUUAUAAGAAUAAGUUACCUUAGGGAUAACAGCGUAAUUUUUUUUGAGAGUUCAUAUCGAUAAAAAAGUUUGCGACCUCGAUGUUGGAUUAAAAAUUAUUUUAGGUGUAGAAGUCUAGAAAUUUGGUCUGUUCGACCAUUAAAUUUU